AGUAAUGUAUGGGGAUCUGCCUGAUGGCGGGGGAUAACUACUGGAAACGGUAGCUAAUACCGCAUAAUGUCGCAAGACCAAAGAGGGGGACCUUAGGGCCUCUUGCCAUCGGAUGUGCCCAGAUGGGAUUAGCUAGUAGGUGGGGUAAUGGCUCACCUAGGCGACGAUCCCUAGCUGGUCUGAGAGGAUGACCAGCCACACUGGAACUGAGACACGGUCCAG
rnacentral:rRNA from 1 species